GAUGAGAACGCAGCGAAAUGCGAUACGUAAUGUGAAUUGCAGAUUUCAGUGAAUCAUCGAAUCUUUGAACGCACAUUGCGCCCGCUAGUAUUCUGGCGGGCAUGCCUGUUCGAGCGUCAUUUCAACCAUCAAGCCCUAGGCUUGCGUUGGAGCCCUGCGGCUGCCGCAGGCUCCCAAAUCCAGUGGCGGGCUCGUCGUCGUACCGAGUGCAGUAAACAUCCUCGCUCAGGGAACGUGACGGGUUCUUGCCGUGAAACCCCCCACAUAUCAAGGUUGACCUCGGAUCAGGUAGGAAUACCCGCUGAACUUAAGCAUAUCAAUAAGCGGAGGA
rnacentral:misc_RNA from 1 species